rnacentral:rRNA from 1 species
CAAUUAAAACACCAAUUGUUCGCCAAAUAACUACGAGUAAAAACUUAAAAUUUAAAAGACUUGACGGUACUUCACACCACCCUAGAGGAGCCUGUCUAAUAACCGAUACUCCACGAUUAACCCAACUCACCCUAGCCCAAUCAGUCUAUAUACCGCCAUCGCCAGCUCACCUUGUAAAAGAAACAUAGCGAGCCUAAAAGCGCCACCACUAACACGAUAGGUCGAGGUGUAACUAAUGGGUGGGAAUCAGAUGGGCUACAUUUUCUAACACAGAAAAUACGAAUAGACUAUGAAAGUAGAAACCGAAGGAGGAUUUAGCAGUACGUUAAGGACAAAAUGCUUAACCGAAAUAAACGCAAUGAAGUGCGUACACACCGCCCGUCAUCCC